UCGAGAAUCUUCGGCAAUGAGCGCAAGCUUGACCGAGCGACGCCGCGUGCGGGAUGAAGGCCCUCGGGUUGUAAACCGCUGUCGAGGGGGAGGAAGGCGCAAGCUUGACCUAUCCCUGGAGGAAGCACGGGCUAAGUUCGUGCCAGCAGCCGCGGUAAGACGAACUGUGCGAACGUUGUUCGGAAUCACUGGGCUUAAAGGGUGCGUAGGCGGCUCGUUAAGUCGGGGGUGAAAUACUUCGGCUCAACCGGAGAAUUGCCUUCGAUACUGGCGGGCUUGAGGAAGGUAGGGGUCGCGGGAACUGCCAGUGGAGCGGUGAAAUGCGUUGAUAUUGGCAGGAACGCCGGUGGUGAAGACGCGCGGCUGGACCUUUUCUGACGCUGAUGCACGAAAGCCAGGGGAGCAAACGGGAUUAGAUACCCGGGUAGUCC
rnacentral:rRNA from 1 species